rnacentral:tRNA from 1 species
UCCCAGUGGCUCAGAGGGUAAACCGUCUAUCUGCAAUGCAGGAGACCCAGGUUCGAUUCCUGGAUUGGGAA